AACGAACGCUGGCGGCAGGCCUAACACGUGCAAGUCGAGCGAGGACUUCGGUUCUAGCGGCGGACGGGUGAGUAACGCGUGGGAAUGUGCCCUUCUCUACGGAAUAGCCCUGGGAAACUGGGAGUAAUACCGUAUACGCCCUAUUGGGGAAAGAUUUAUCGGAGAAGGAUCAGCCCGCGUUGGAUUAGGUAGUUGGUGGGGUAAUGGCCUACCAAGCCGACGAUCCAUAGCUGGUUUGAGAGGAUGAUCAGCCACACUGGGACUGAGACACGGCCCAGACUCCUACGGGAAGCAGCAGUGGGGAAUCUUAGACAAUGGGGGCAACCCUGAUCUAGCCAUGCCGCGUGAGUGAUGAAGGCCUUAGGGUUGUAAAGCUCUUUCAGCUGGGAAGAUAAUGACGGUACCAGCAGAAGAAGCCCCGGCUAACUCCGUG
rnacentral:rRNA from 1 species